CCUACGAGAGACAGCAGUGAGGAAUAUUGGUCAAUGGGCGGGAGCCUGAACCAGCCAAGUCGCGUGAGGGAAGACGGUCCUAUGGAUUGUAAACCUCUUUAGGCGGGGAGCAAUGCCGGGCACGUGUGCCCGGAGGGAGGGUACCCGCAGAAUAGGCAUCGGCUAACUCCGUGCCAGCAGCCGCGGUAAUACGGAGGAUGCGAGGUUUAUCGGGAUUUAUGGGGUUUAAGGGGUGCGUAGGCGGAUGUUUAAGUCGGCGGUAAAAUGUCCGGGCUCAACCCGGGCCGGCCGUUGAAACUGGGGAUCUUGAGUGGGCGAGAAGUAUGCGGAAUGCGUGGUGUAGCGGUGAAAUGCAUAGAUAUCACGAAGAACUCCGAUUGCGAAGGCAGCAUACCGGCGCCCGACUGACGCUGAGGCACGAAAGCGUGGGGAUCGAACAGGAUUAGAUACCCUUGUAGUC
rnacentral:rRNA from 1 species